UAAACGACCCGUCUUGUAACACGGACCAAGGAGUCUAACAUGCCUGCGAGUGUUUGGGUGCUAAACCCAUGCGCGUAAUGAAAGUGAAAUUUGCGAUCUCUGUCAUGGAGAGCAGCGAAGCCCGGUCUUGCGCUUUGGCAACGGAUCUGAGGUUGAGCAUGUAUGUUGGGACCCGAAAGAUGGUGAACUAUGCCUGAAUAGGGCGAAGCCAGGGGAAACUCUGGUGGAGGCUCGUAGCGAUUCUGACGUGCAAAUCGAUUUUCAAAUGCCG
rnacentral:rRNA from 1 species